UGAGUGCGAGCUGCUACGGCAGCGAAGUGGGUGACGUCAAGCUUCCAAGAAAAGCCCUAGACCCGUUAAGGCAUGAUUGCCUGUACCCGAAACCGACACAGGUGGGGUGGUAGAGAAUACCGAGGGGCGCGAGGUAACUCUCUCUAAGGAACUCGGCAAAAUGGCCCCGUAACUUCGGGAGAAGGGGUGCCAGCGAGAGCUGGUCGCAGUGAAGAGGCCCAGGCGACUGUUUACCAAAAACACAGGUCUCCGCUAAGUCGCAAGACGAUGUAUGGGGGCUGACGCCUGCCCAGUGACGGAAGGUUAAGGAAGCUGGUCAGCGCAAGCGAAGCUGGCGACUGAAGCCCCGGUGAACGGCGACCGUAACAAUAACGGUCCUAAGGUAGCGAAAUUCCUUGUCGGGUAAGUUCCGACCCGCACGAAAGGCGUAACGAUCUGGGCGCUGUCUCGGAGAGAGGCUCGGCGAAAUAGAAUUGUCUGUGAAGAUGCGGACUACGUGCACCCGGACAGAAAGACCCUAUGAAUCUUUACUGUAGCUUGGUAUUGUGCUCGGGCUCGGAAUGCGCAGGAUAGGUGGGAGGCAUUGAUCCAUUGCUUGCGGGUGAUGGUGAGCCACUGGUGAGAUACCACUCUUUUCGAGCUUAAGUUCUAACGGCCACCCGUUAUCCGGGGGCCGGACAGUAUCAGGUGGGCAGUUUGACUGGGGCGGUCGCCUCCUAAAAGGUAACGGAGGCGCGCAAAGGUCUGCUCAGGCUGGUUGGAAAUCAGCCGACGAGUGUAAAAGCAGAAGCAGGCUUGACUGUGAGACCUACAAGUCGAACAGGGAGGAAACUCGGCUUUAGUGAUCCGACGGUUCUGCGUGGAAGGGCCGUCGCUCAACGGAUAAAAGUUACUCUAAGGAUAACAGGCUGAUCUCCCCCAAGAGUUCACAUCGACGGGGAGGUUUGGCACCUCGAUGUCGGCUCAUCGCAACCUGGGGCUGAAGUCGGUCCCAAGGGUUGGGCUGUUCGCCCAUUAAAGCGGUACGCGAGCUGGGUUCAGAACGUCGUGAGACAGUUCGGUCCAUAUCCGGUGCACGCGCAGGAAUAUUGAGAGGAUUUCUCCCUAGUACGAGAGGACCGGGAGGAACGCACCUCUGGUGUGCCAGUUAUCGUGCCAACGGUAAACGCUGGGUAGCCAUGUGCGGAGAGGAUAACCGCUGAAAGCAUCUAAGUGGGAAGCCCACCUCAAGAUGAGUAUUCCCAUGGCGUUAAGCCAGUAAGGUCACGGGAAGAACACCCGUUGAUAGGCUCUAUGUGGGAGCGCAGUAAUGCGUGAAGCAGAGGAGUACUAAUAGACCGAGGGCUUGACCG
rnacentral:rRNA from 1 species